GCACCGGCUAACUACGUGCCAGCAGCCGCGGUAAUACGUAGGGUGCGAGCGUUGUCCGGAAUUACUGGGCGUAAAGAGCUCGUAGGUGGUUUGUCGCGUCGUUUGUGUAAGUCCACGGCUUAACUGUGGGACUGCAGGCGAUACGGGCAUAACUUGAGUGCUGUAGGGGAGACUGGAAUUCCUGGUGUAGCGGUGAAAUGCGCAGAUAUCAGGAGGAACACCGAUGGCGAAGGCAGGUCUCUGGGCAGUAACUGACGCUGAGGAGCGAAAGCAUGGGUAGCGAACAGGAUUAGAUACCCUGGUAGUCCACGCUGUAAACGAUGAAUACUUGAUGUAGGAGGUAUCGACCCCUUCUGUGUCGAAGUUAACGUAUUAAGUAUUCCACCUGGGGAGUACGGCCGCA
rnacentral:rRNA from 1 species